ACUGGGCUCUGGCAUCGAAAAGAGAAAACCUACUCCCCUUAUUUACUACCCUUUAUGUCAAAAAGUCCCACUGUGCCAAAAACAUGUGUUACGUAUACUGUGUCAACCUGGACUUCUUCACCUUACCAAUUUCUGAUCAGGAGAGAGGAUGGGGAUAGGGUGAUUAUAGAGUCUGAUCUGUGAAAGAAUCGGGCGUAGCUGAAUAGAAAUGAGGAGAAAGUCCAAAGUUGUUCUUGAAAUUUUUAGAAACGCUGGACUGCCUGGCCUGCAUUUCUCAGAGCACCAACUCUGACUUGCUACUAAGUUUUAUAGAAGGCACAGUCUAUACAUAACGCAAUCACAAAAUUCUAAUUUAUUCAAGAAGCCAUCACUACUUGGCAUUCCUUUCAUUACAUCAAAUUCUAUUUACAAGAGAUAUGUUACCUUCCUGACACAGCUAAGAAAUUAAGGCUCAGGGAUGUGGAAUGUCUUUCUGAGUUAAAAAGUUACCAUGAGAGACUAAAACUGAAACCAGGUCUUAUGAUACCACACUUCAGGUGACUGAAUUUGAAGUGGAUUGUGCUACUGUUACUGAGUAGAACAAGAAAAAUACAGAGCAUGGGACAAGUACCAGUGAGUAUGGGAACAAAGAGGACGAGAAAAUAAGCAUGAGGAGUUGAGACAGGAGCCUAUCAGAUAACACAGCAGAGGAGAAUCAGACAGAAAGAGACUGGAAAUGACAGACAAGGACACACGGAAAUCAGAGCUACAAAGAGGUAUAGCCUACCAUUUCUGACUUAUGCUAAGUGUGCUGACAACAAAAGGCAACCUUGAGAAAAACAGUAAUUUAUGGUUCUACGUGUCUACCACAACUGGGGCCAUCAGCCUUUCCACAUAUAACAAAACCGGGUGAAAUCAUACAAAAGGAAUAUGGAGGAACAUGGCGUAGAAGUGGCAUGAUUGGACUAAAGGACAAUCUACUUUAAUUUUAUGAAAAAUUGUCAUGACAGCAUCAUUGAGAGAAACACAAGCACAGAUACUCUACAUAAUUUUAAACCACUAUGUAAAACAGAAUGAAGUCUAUGAACUUUUUAUUGUUUGACAAUUACAAUUUGGGAAAAUCUGUUUCUUAACAGUUUAUAAAAGUACAAAUGCCUGCAUAACGACCUGGUUAUUUUUCAAAUGAAACACACUUUGAGACCACUAAUGACAAAACAGUAAUAAGCUCACGAGAAAAAGCAGAUUUACAUUUUCAAAACUUCCUAUAAGAGAACAGAUAAACUGAACUUCUGUGUAAUUUACAUAAGACUCAAUAUUUAACUAUUAUGAUUAACUAAGCUGUAAGUUCAAUAAAACUAUGUAACUCAAGUAAUCAUGAAAUAAUGAUCGACUGUUUCUCAAAGUGCCUAACUGCUAAUACUGAAAUAAAUAAAAUAAAUGAACAAAUGCCAA